UACGCACAGCGCGCGUAACUCAUAACGGACGCCGUACAAGUGGGAAUAUAUACAGUCAGAAAGUGUUCGAAUUGCGGCCAAGCCGGUUGUCGAGGCACAAGUAUACUGCAUGGACCAAGACUGGAGUUGCUUCGCAUAGGAAACGUCUGAACUCGUGCUCCAGCUGAGAAGCUGACUGCUGAACUAGAAAGCAGUGGAGUGAGAUUAGAGUUGCAUCGCAUGGGAUACCAUUAAGCCAUCUCCAUCACCGAACCACCAGUGAUGAGGAGAUGUGGAGAGGUGGCGAGAGAGACACACACGCACACAGAGAGAUACACAUAGAGAAAGAGCAGAGGAGGCAUAAUGCGGAGGAGAGAAUAAAAUCAAGAAGUUUAUGUAUAUAUACACACACCGAGAAAUUGAUACAAUAGAUGUGUUUGUGUUAAUCUAUCUGUCUAUUUAUCUAUCUAUCUAUCUAUCUAUCUAUGUAUAUAUAAUAAUGUUUACCUAGAAUGCUUAUUCAGGAAUUAUCACUAUGUAUAGUAACAAUUAAGAGCUAAUAAUACCUUAUUAUAGCUCAGCUCCUAGUUAUAUAGGUAUUAUUAGCUCUUGAUUGUAAUUAU